rnacentral:rRNA from 1 species
AGCGCAGGCGGUUUCUUAAGUCUGAUGUGAAAGCCCCCGGCUCAACCGGGGAGGGUCAUUGGAAACUGGGAGACUUGAGUGCAGAAGAGGAGAGUGGAAUUCCAUGUGUAGCGGUGAAAUGCGUAGAUAUAUGGAGGAACACCAGUGGCGAAGGCGGCUCUCUGGUCUGUAACUGACGCUGAGGCUGAAAGCGUGGGGAGCAAACA